AUUGAACGCUGGCGGCAGGCCUAACACAUGCAAGUCGAACGGUAACAGGAAGCAGCUUGCUGCUUUGCUGACGAGUGGCGGACGGGUGAGUAAUGUCUGGGAAACUGCCUGAUGGAGGGGGAUAACUACUGGAAACGGUAGCUAAUACCGCAUAACGUCGCAAGACCAAAGAGGGGGACCUUCGGGCCUCUUGCCAUCGGAUGUGCCCAGAUGGGAUUAGCUAGUAGGUGGGGUAACGGCUCACCUAGGCGACGAUCCCUAGCUGGUCUGAGAGGAUGACCAGCCACACUGGAACUGAGACACGGUCCGGACUCCUACGGGAGGCAGCAGUGGGGAAUAUUGCACAAUGGGCGCAAGCCUGAUGCAGCCAUGCCGCGUGUAUGAAGAAGGCCUUCGGGUUGUAAAGUACUUUCAGCGGGGAGGAAGGGAGUAAAGUUAAUACCUUUGCUCAUUGACGUUACCCGCAGAAGAAGCACCGGCUAACUCCGUG
rnacentral:rRNA from 1 species